ACCUGGGGCCCAAGAGCUGGCAGUUUCCAUCCUCCGCAGAAGGGGGAAGGGGGGCGCUUAAGGUGGAGCUGGAAGAGUCCUCGGAUGUCUUCCCUCUCAGGGCCGCUGGCCCCGGAGGAUCCGGCGUCUUCCAGCUCGCGGGGACCCAGGUUGGAGCCUGCAUCAGUGCCUGCAGCCCCCCGCCCAAUGCAUCACUCGGGCCUCCGCCAGGGGCUCCCUUAACCCGGCGGCGGGAUCCCCUGGGAGACUGGCGCGCGAUGUGGGCGGCUGACCAGGAGGGGGAGGCAGAGACUUGGAGAGGGAGAGAGAGAGGCUGGAGGAGCCGGGAAGGCAGAGAAGAGAGAGCAGAGGUGAGGUCAGGGAACAGUGGAGGCUUGGGAAGGGAAGGGGAGCCUGAGGUGGAUACGGAGAGCCGUGGUGGAGGGAGAUGCAGGGUAGAGAUGAGAGGGCAGGCUGGGGCGGUUGGGGGGCUGCUGGGGGAGGUGGUGGCGGCAGGAGAGAGACAGAGAGACUUACAUACAUUGAAUGAAGGAGAUACAGAAACAAAUACACGCCGAGAAGAGAGAGAGAUACAGAGAGAGGGAGACCCCCAGAAUGACAGGGAAAAAAUACAAAAGGAGACAGAUGCAGAUGGAGGCAGAGAAAGAGAUACAGAGACCCACAGAGACACAGAUGUAGACACACAAACUUGGAGAUAGAAGCAGAGAGACCUAGACAGAGAGAGAGAGAGGAGAGAGAGAGUCCCACAUACCAGGUUAAAGAUGGAAGAGCAAGAUGCCAGGCAGGAGGUGUGUGGGGAGAGACAGAAACAGAAAAAGAGAUCUAAAGACAGAGCGACAGAGAAACACUCACCCAGAGCAAGGGGCAGAGAGAGGAGGAGACAGAGACCGAGGCGAACACACGUGCACAUCUAUAAAGAGACGCACUCAUGCAGAGAAAGAGGUAUGAACAGAGACCAACAGAUGGACAGAGACAGAGAGACCCAGAUAGGGGGAGAGAGUCCCAGAAACAGGUCAGCUGACAUGAAGGAUGAGACUAAAGAGAAUUCAGAAACACAGAGUCAUUCAGGGAUAGAGAAUUGGAGAUGGACUUCAAGGACCUGUGAUGGAGGGAGAUGGAGACACCCAGGAGAGUCAGAAAUCGAGAGACAGAGAAAACACGAGAAAGAAAGCCUGCAGGAUCCCAAUUCCCUGACCAGGGAUUGAACCCAGGCCCCAGCAGAAAGCGCCGAGUCCUAACCACUGGACCGCCAGGGAAUUCCUGACACCACCACUUCUUUAUUCUAUUCAUUGGAGGUGAAACAUGAUCAAGGAUACCAUGGGUUGCAGCUGAUGCAGUGACAAGACGGUGGAUGCCUCUCAGCCUGGGUGCUUCAAUGAUUGUGUGGAAAAUCGCCCCUUGCUGACUUGCAUGGGACAGGUACAUGAGAAAGAAAUCAACUCUCGUUGUGUCAAGCCAACAGGGCUAGCCUAACCUGACUAAUGGAAGUCCUUAAUGAAGUACGGGAACUAGCUUGCUGCUAUACAAGGCAGUGUGUUCCAGGAAGAGAGAAGGGCAAGUGCAAAGGCCCUGAAGCAGAGUGUUCUUGGUUUUUAAAGGAACAGGAAGGAGACCAGUGUAGCUGCAGAGGGGUGAGUGAGGGAAAGUUGUAAGAGGUGAGGUCAGGUAUGGGGUGGGAGUGGACCAAGUAAGGUUUUGUAGAGCAGGGCAAGGACUUUGGAUCUUAUUCUGAGAAAGAUGGGAAGACAAGAGUUUUGAGCAUAGUAACAGCACGGUCCACUGGCGCCUAGGUCAGGGGUCUGACUUAGGUUUUAAAUCAUUAUCCUAGCUUCUGUGUGAAGAAGACUCUAAGAGGGUAGUGGGGAGACCAGUAUGGGGACUACCUGUAAUCCAGGCAAAGAGUGGUGAUGGCUUGGAUCAAGGUGGUAGCAGUGGACAUGGUAAAAAAAAAGAAAAAAGGCUGAAUUAUGAACAUAUUUACUAUGUGUAACUGAAGAAACCUCAGGUAGAGUUGGAGUUGGGACAGGCCUGUAGGGGGCGCUCUCAGAUCCCAUCAGGAGACCUCAAUUAACAGGAGAGAAGUAAACCUACAUCUGUGAUAGGAAGGUACCUCUAGGUUACUAUCAGAAGGAAGAAGAAAACUUCUCUCCAUCCAGGGCAGCUCAGCCAGUCAGGCUGUAGCAGGCCAACCAAUGUGAAGCCUCCAUACUUUGGACUCCCAGUUUCCUCCAAUGGACUCUUUGGUUAUUGCAGCCCCUCCCAACUCUCCUCUUUUCCCUAUAAAAGCAUGUUCCCCUUGCUUGUUCUCUGUAUUUGCUUAUGGUCACCCAUUUUUGCGUAUCGCUGAUUGUGAUUUCUCUGCU